UUUCCGUAGGUGAACCUGCAGAAGGAUCAUUGUCGAGACCUGCAAAGCAGACCACGAACACGUGUUUAACCACAUCGGGCCCGCAGCGCAGGGAAAAACCUCCCGUAGUAAUCCCAUCCCUGUCGACGUGUGCGAGAACGCUCCGUCGUAUGGGCUAACAAACCCUGGUGCGGUAUGCGCCAAGGAAAACAAAACAUAGCGUCAUAGGAGUCUAUCGAAUGUCAAAAUGACUCUCGGAAAUGGAUAUCUCGCCUCUCGCAUCGAUGAAGAACGCAGC
rnacentral:misc_RNA from 1 species